rnacentral:tRNA from 1 species
CCGGGUGUGGCUCAGUUUGGUGGAGCGCAUGGUUUGGGACCAUGAGGUCGCAGGUUCGAAUCCUGUCACCCGGAC